rnacentral:snoRNA from 1 species
AUCAUCAGUAGUGGUUAAUACUAUCUCAAGAUAAUAUUAAUUACAAUUUUUUUAUAGAAACCGAUGUUUCAAUCACCUGUGUAUUUAAAAGUGGGGUUUGUGGCUUUGGUUUUCGGACCAAAGUUGGGGCUUUGCUUAAGUUAAUAUUGGUACGUGGUGGUUGAUUCAAGCAAUAACCCAUAGCUGAAUGGGCUUUGACCACCUCCAAACAAGGUGGCCACAAAGUCCAUUUCGUUUCCGGUUUCUUAGAUUAACGUCUGUCAUGAGGGAGUAUGAACUCUUUAAGAGUUCAUAAGUGCAUGUUUUUCAGAGGAGCGUGUAAUGCGCUCUGAGAGUUUGAAAGAUUCUGUUGUGCCCUCCUUCAUGUCAGUACAUUU